AUACAUGCAAGUCGAACGAACUCUGGUAUUGAUUGGUGCUUGCAUCAUGAUUUACAUUUGAGUGAGUGGCGAACUGGUGAGUAACACGUGGGAAACCUGCCCAGAAGCGGGGGAUAACACCUGGAAACAGAUGCUAAUACCGCAUAACAACUUGGACCGCAUGGUCCGAGCUUGAAAGAUGGCUUCGGCUAUCACUUUUGGAUGGUCCCGCGGCGUAUUAGCUAGAUGGUGGGGUAACGGCUCACCAUGGCAAUGAUACGUAGCCGACCUGAGAGGGUAAUCGGCCACAUUGGGACUGAGACACGGCCCAAACUCCUACGGGAGGCAGCAGUAGGGAAUCUUCCACAAUGGACGAAAGUCUGAUGGAGCAACGCCGCGUGAGUGAAGAAGGGUUUCGGCUCGUAAAACUCUGUUGUUAAAGAAGAACAUAUCUGAGAGUAACUGUUCAGGUAUUGACGGUAUUUAACCAGAAAGCCACGGCUAACUACGUGCCAGCAGCCGCGGUAAUACGUAGGUGGCAAGCGUUGUCCGGAUUUAUUGGGCGUAAAGCGAGCGCAGGCGGUUUUUUAAGUCUGAUGUGAAAGCCUUCGGCUCAACCGAAGAAGUGCAUCGGAAACUGGGAAACUUGAGUGCAGAAGAGGACAGUGGAACUCCAUGUGUAGCGGUGAAAUGCGUAGAUAUAUGGAAGAACACCAGUGGCGAAGGCGGCUGUCUGGUCUGUAACUGACGCUGAGGCUCGAAAGUAUGGGUAGCAAACAGGAUUAGAUACCCUGGUAGUCCAUACCGUAAACGAUGAAUGCUAAGUGUUGGAGGGUUUCCGCCCUUCAGUGCUGCAGCUAACGCAUUAAGCAUUCCGCCUGGGGAGUACGGCCGCAAGGCUGAAACUCAAAGGAAUUGACGGGGGCCCGCACAAGCGGUGGAGCAUGUGGUUUAAUUCGAAGCUACGCGAAGAACCUUACCAGGUCUUGACAUACUAUGCAAAUCUAAGAGAUUAGACGUUCCCUUCGGGGACAUGGAUACAGGUGGUGCAUGGUUGUCGUCAGCUCGUGUCGUGAGAUGUUGGGUUAAGUCCCGCAACGAGCGCAACCCUUAUUAUCAGUUGCCAGCAUUAAGUUGGGCACUCUGGUGAGACUGCCGGUGACAAACCGGAGGAAGGUGGGGAUGACGUCAAAUCAUCAUGCCCCUUAUGACCUGGGCUACACACGUGCUACAAUGGAUGGUACAACGAGUUGCGAACUCGCGAGAGUAAGCUAAUCUCUUAAAGCCAUUCUCAGUUCGGAUUGUAGGCUGCAACUCGCCUACAUGAAGUCGGAAUCGCUAGUAAUCGCGGAUCAGCAUGCCGCGGUGAAUACGUUCCCGGGCCUUGUACACACCGCCCGUCACACCAUGAGAGUUUGUAACACCCAAAGUCGGUGGGGUAACCUUUUAGGAACCAGCCG
rnacentral:rRNA from 1 species